AACCUUCUAGUGUUUGAGGAAUAUACUGCAGUGAAGAUCAUAUAUGUGCCUCUGCAGGGACGCUGGGGGCAUUAUGUAACAAAUGUGUGGGGUUAACUGGUUUCCCAAGGGGACGCUACUGAGAAGCUGGCUCACCAAGUCGCGGCCCAGAUUACUACUGCUGAUUGCAGGUUUGAAGAGGCCUCAGGUGACCCUUAUGAGGAGAAAAAGGAUGAAGCGCACAAAAGUAGCAAAGGCCACGUAAGCGAGCCUGCAGCCGAAUUCCCCACUUCACCUGAGCCUCAGACAGAGCCCUGCUUGUUAGAGAUGGAAGAUAAACGAGAGGAUGACCUGUUUGAAGCAYAUCUGCACCAACAAAGAACUAAAUCCAAAGUAUCACAAAAAGUAAUGAAGCUGGAGAAGAAACCACAGAUUUUUAGACCUCCAGACUAACAUGGAUCAAACCCCAACCUGAACAAACAGCAUCACACCUUCCUUCAAAUACAUGUWUUGUCUUAUGACUGUGGUAUUCUCAUCAUUCUUAUCCAAUGUGUUACUAAAAGAACCCAGCUAUCCCAUCUUUAUGAUUCAAGAGUGUCAGGUUUGAAUCUGAAACUCAGCUGCUGAUUAAACACAGAUUUCUGCUCACCUUUUCCCAUCAGUUCAACACUUCUCAAGCAGCUGUGACUCACGCUGGAAGCAUGUUGAACGUACGGCAAGAUGCAAACCAAUAAAACAAGAUUGUCUGCUGUGGCCAUGUGUACAAGAGAAAUAAAUUUAACCUCACAAUAUAUGCUUAUGAAWAAUGUUGCCUAAUUUAACAUUUAAUCUUAUAGGUUUUAGCUACUGUUUGUUUUUAUCUAUUUAUUUAAAAGUUUUUUCUUCCAAAACAUAAUCUCGGUUCUUUUUUUUUUCUUUUGCUGAUGUUUGUACGUGUCUUAUAAUAUCCAAACAAGAGCUGAAAGGGAUUAUCUGAAGAAAUGUCGUUAAUCUGAACCGUACUGAGAUUAAAGAUACUCAYUGCAGUGCAAACUAUAAAAUAAUAAAAACAAGGUUCUCUUGAACUAAACACUGCAAUUUGAAAAAGUUUACUCUAGUAGUUUUCCAGAUAUCUGAAUUGUAAGUCAAUGUGAACAUUUCAUCUGCAUACUUUCUGUGGUAAAUCUGAGCAUAAAACAUACAAGUACAUGGAGGUGUAGAAAAUACCACGUCUUCUGGUUGAAGUGGAAAUGCUGUUGCUCAAUGAAGAAAGGACUCUGAAAAAACAGGCUGGUUGAAC